UACGUAGGGUGCGAGCGUUAAUCGGAAUUACUGGGCGUAAAGCGUGCGCAGGCGGUUUUGUAAGCCAGAUGUGAAAUCUCCGGGCUUAACCCGGAGCGGCCAAGUGAUACUGUCGUGCUAGAGUGCGGAAGGGGCUACUGGAAUUCUCGGUGUAGCGGUGAAAUGCGCAGAUAUCAGGAGGAACACCGGUGGCGAAGGCGGGUCUCUGGGCCGAUACUGACGCUGAGGAGCGAAAGCGUGGGGAGCGAACAGG
rnacentral:rRNA from 1 species